rnacentral:rRNA from 1 species
UACGUAGGGUGCAAGCGUUGUCCGGAAUUAUUGGGCGUAAAGAGCUUGUAGGCGGUUUGUCGCGUCUGCUGUGAAAUUUCGGGGCUCAACCCCGAACUUGCAGUGGGUACGGGCAGACUAGAGUGCAGAAGGGGCAAUCGGAAUUCUUGGUGUAGCGGUGAAAUGCGUAGAUAUCAAGAGGAACACCUGAGGUGAAGACGGGUUGCUGGGCUGACACUGACGCUGAGGCGCGAAAGCCAGGGGAGCAAACGGG